rfam:Homo sapiens chromosome 3, GRCh38 reference primary assembly.
UUUUUAGUAUAAGUAUAGCCCAUGCAAUGUUUGUGACAUAUUUAUACUAAAA